AACGAACGCUGGCGGCAUGCCUAACACAUGCAAGUCGAACGAGACCUUCGGGUCUAGUGGCGCACGGGUGCGUAACGCGUGGGAACCUGCCCUUAGGUUCGGAAUCACUCCCCGAAAGGGGUGCUAAUACCGGCUAAUGUCUUCGGACCAAAGAUUUAUCGCCGUUGGAUGGGCCCGCGUUGGAUUAGCUAGUUGGUAGGGUAAAAGCCUACCAAGGCGACGAUCCAUAGCUGGUCUGAGAGGAUGAUCAGCCACACUGGGACUGAGACACGGCCCAGACUCCUACGGGAGGCAGCAGUGGGGAAUAUUGGACAAUGGGCGAAAGCCUGAUCCAGCAAUGCCGCGUGAGUGAUGAAGGCCUUAGGGUUGUAAAGCUCUUUUACCCGGGAUGAUAAUGACAGUACCGGGAGAAUAAGCUCCGGCUAACUCCGUG
rnacentral:rRNA from 1 species